rnacentral:rRNA from 1 species
GACGAACGCUGGCGGCGUGCUUAACACAUGCAAGUCGUACGGUAAGGCCCUUUCGGGGGUACACGAGUGGCGAACGGGUGAGUAACACGUGAGUAACCUGCCCACAACUUUGGGAUAACGCUAGGAAACUGGUGCUAAUACUGGAUAUGUGCUCCUGCUGCAUGGUGGGGGUUGGAAAGCUCCGGCGGUUGUGGAUGGACUCGCGGCCUAUCAGCUUGUUGGUGGGGUAGUGGCCUACCAAGGCGGCGACGGGUAGCCGGCCUGAGAGGGUGACCGGCCACAUUGGGACUGAGAGACGGCCCAGACUCCUACGGGAGGCAGAAGUGGGGAAUAUUGCACAAUGGGCGCAAGCCUGAUGCAGCAACGCCGCGUGCGGGAUGACGGCCUUCGGGUUGUAAACCGCUUUCAGCAGGGACGAAGCUUUUUGUGACGGUACCUGCAGAAGAAGCACCGGCUAACUACAUG